rnacentral:rRNA from 1 species
AAUGAACGUUGGCGGCAUGGAUUAGGCAUGCAAGUCGAGCGAGAAGAGUUUUGAAGCUUGCUUUAGAACUCGGACAGCGGCGAAAGGGAGAGUAACGCGUAGUUAUGUACCCUAGGGUCCGGAAUAGCCACGGGAAACUGUGGGUAAUGCCGGAUAACAUCCCCGGAUCAAAGGUGUGAUUCCGCCCUAGGAGCAGACUGCGUCCUACUAGCUAGUUGGUGGGGUAAUGGCCCACCAAGGCAAUGAUGGGUAGCGGGUGUGAGAGCAUGACCCGUCUCACUGGGACUGAGACACUGCCCAGACACCUACGGGUGGCUGCAGUCGAGAAUCUUCGGCAAUGGGCGAAAGCCUGACCGAGCGAUGCCGCGUGCGGGAUGAAGGCCCUCGGGUUGUAAACCGCUGUCGUAGGGGAGGAAGGUUCCGUGAAGAGCGGAAUUUGACCUAUCCUAGGAGGAAGUACGGGCUAAGUUCGUGCCAGCCGCCGCCGUAAAAC